rnacentral:rRNA from 1 species
UACAGAGGGUGCAAGCGUUAUUCGGAAUCACUGGGCGUAAAGAGUUCGUAGGCGGUUUGUUUAGUCGAAUGUGAAAGCCCUGGGCUCAAUCCAGGAAGUGCAUUCGAUACUGGCAAGCUAGAGUGCAGGAGAGGAGAGCGGAAUUCCAGGUGUAGAGGUGAAAUUCGUAGAUAUCUGGAGGAACAACAGAGGCGAAGGCGGCUCUCUGGACUGUCACUGACGCUGAGGAACGAAAGCGUGGGGAGCGAACAGG